rnacentral:ncRNA from 1 species
GAGAUCUUAGGAGAUAAGUUAGCUUUUUAGUUUAUAAAGAAUUUUUUGUUGUGGUUAGGAAGGAUUGUAAAGCUAUAGUAAGAUUUUAUAGUGGUUUUAGAAGAUGUAAGAUGAUGUUAUCUAUAUAUGAUUCGGUGAGUGGACAAUAUUUUAUGAUCCUGGUGUUUGUUAUUUGUAGUAUUUAUGUACCAGAAUAAUCGGAUAGACUUAAAAAAUUAGAACUUUUGUCUGGUUAAAUAAUAAUUGGUUUUGAUUGUUAGUUUGUGUUUUUUUGGUAAAAUAUGAGAGUUUUGAAUGAGAGUGUUUAUUAUUUUAGAGUAAGUUAAAUGAUCUGGAUUAGUACCCAGUUAAUUUUUGUUUAGUAGUACAGGAGUAUAAUAGUAUUAAAACUGAAACUAUUUUUGGGAGACUUAAAAUUUAUUUUUGGAGGUUGACGAGUAAGUGAGGACCCUCAUUACUAACUAUUAUUUUAGUGGUAUGUAUGAUCGUUUAUUUUGAUAUUGAGUGUUCAAAAGUAAAAUUUUUAGUUAUGAAGAUAGAUAAAUAUAUACUAUAUGUAAUAGCUUUUGUUGAUCUACAAUGUUGUUAUAGUUGGAUUUUUAUUGUAGGUAGUAGAAUGAAAGUGGAAAAGACAGUAAAUUAAUUUUAAUGUUUAAUUGAAGUUAUUUUUUAGGUGGCACAAAUUAUCCAUCAAUUGCUUAAAAGGUAGUAAGUUGUAGUAGAGUGGGGGUAGAGGAAUCUGUCCCGAGUGGGAUUUUAGUUUAGUUAUAAAAUGUAAGUUUAGCAGUCUUAAGAGAGAAAUUCUA